rnacentral:rRNA from 2 species
GCAGUCGAACGAACUCUGGUAUUGAUUGGUGCUUGCAUCAUGAUUUACAUUUGAGUGAGUGGCGAACUGGUGAGUAACACGUGGGAAACCUGCCCAGAAGCGGGGGAUAACACCUGGAAACAGAUGCUAAUACCGCAUAACAACUUGGACCGCAUGGUCCGAGUUUGAAAGAUGGCUUCGGCUAUCACUUUUGGAUGGUCCCGCGGCGUAUUAGCUAGAUGGUGGGGUAACGGCUCACCAUGGCAAUGAUACGUAGCCGACCUGAGAGGGUAAUCGGCCACAUUGGGACUGAGACACGGCCCAAACUCCUACGGGAGGCAGCAGUAGGGAAUCUUCCACAAUGGACGAAAGUCUGAUGGAGCAACGCCGCGUGAGUGAAGAAGGGUUUCGGCUCGUAAAACUCUGUUGUUAAAGAAGAACAUAUCUGAGAGUAACUGUUCAGGUAUUGACGGUAUUUAACCAGAAAGCCACGGCUAACUACGUGCCAGCAGCCGCGGUAAUACGUAGGUGGCAAGCGUUGUCCGGAUUUAUUGGGCGUAAAGCGAGCGCAGGCGGUUUUUUAAGUCUGAUGUGAAAGCCUUCGGCUCAACCGAAGAAGUGCAUCGGAAACUGGGAAACUUGAGUGCAGAAGAGGACAGUGGAACUCCAUGUGUAGCGGUGAAAUGCGUAGAUAUAUGGAAGAACACCAGUGGCGAAAGCGGCUGUCUGGUCUGUAACUGACGCUGAGGCUCGAAAGUAUGGGUAGCAACAGAUAGAUACCCUGGUAGUCAUACCGUAACGAUGAUGCUAGUGUUGGAGGGUUUCCGCCCUUCAGUGCUGCAGCUAACGC